CCCGCCCAAAUCUCAUAUCGAAUUGGAGAAGCCUGGUGGGAGGUAACUGGAUCAUGGAGGCAGAUUUCCUCCUUGCUGUUCUCAUGACAGUGAGUGAGUUCUCAUGAGAUCUGAUGGUUGAAAAUUGUGUGACCUUCCCCCUUCACUCUCUCUCUUUCUCCUGCCACCAUGUGAAGAAGGUGCUUGCUUCCCCUUGGUGUUCUGCCAUAAAUUUUAUCAUUUCUGGAUUGCUGUCUGUCAUUUUGGGAAGAAAAUCAAACAAGCAUCUGCCCUGCUCAGUCCUGGGUGGAGAAGCUACCAGAACCACAUCUCCUGUCUGUCCCACCAUAAGUCUCUGCUUCAUUCACGCUUUCAUGUGUCGUGCAUCAAGCAAGCAUUUGCCUGUAGGCUUGGGGAGCUCUGAGAGGGGUUGAGAGUGAACAAAAUUAAUCAAAUCGUAUAACAGAAGAGGAAGUCCCAUCCUGCCGAGGAUCCUGGAUGUGAGAACCUGCUGCUGGCCUGGUGGGAUCGUGGUGCCCCAGGAGCAUGAACUGCUCAGGAGCAGACCCUGACCAGAUCCCCUGCAGGCCUGGAACAGCCUGAUCAGCAGCCUCCUAAGCCCCAUGGCUGCCACAGUGGGCCUCAUUGUCCUUCCCUAUCACCUAGCCGGGGUGUUCCCAGCUGCCAGACAGUGCCAACUGGUGGUGCCUGCCCAUCAGUGCCCCAAGACAGCCACUACUUUUCGAAGAAUGAGACCACCAGCUGCUUUGUGGCCAGCUCCAGCUUACUGGUGAGUAUUUUUAGGUAGAAUGUUCCAGACUAGUGAAGUCUUUGAGAUUUUCUGCUUCUUGUUCACUGCUUCCUUCUGAUGUGGACCAUGCGGAAAGAGGCAGAACACAGGAACCCACACAUGGGAGAAUAGCAGAAUGUGUUUCCUGACCCAAAGUGACACAGUGAUCACCAGCAUGCCCCAGGCAGCAUUUGCUGACACCGUCCUGGAGAUGAACAAGGAGUGCACCCUUAGUGUGGGGGCAGAGAGAGAGAGAGCACAUUGUCUGCAGGAGUCAGCUGAAUGAUCUCACAGACCCCACCUGCUGGGCUCUUCCAUUUUAUCACAAUUAUUCCGCCUGUUCACGUGCAGAGAGAACACUUGGGGCAGAUUUUAAGACCUUAGAGAGUAACUUGUUUACAAAUAAAAUAUCUCUUUGAUGAUGUAUUUGGAUUCCAUGUCAUUUUGCCACAUUUCUC
rnacentral:lncRNA from 1 species